CAUAUUUGUGCGGAGGCGAUGAGCCUUGAGAGAAAAUGUGCACAACCCAAGCGUGGGACUGUACAGACUACCUAAAGGAGGGAAGAGUGGAAGUAAUGGCGACAAUACAAUUCUUGUGUAUAUCCACAUGGAGAUAUUUAAAAAAAAUAACUAAAACGAAACAAAACAAAACGAAAAGCCCUUAAAUGAAUGCAUGGAGAGGGAAUUUCCUUGAAGAGUUACCUGCUAAAUACCAUUACUCUCAGCUCCACGGGUUCAGAAUGGACUUCUUCUCAUUACUUCAGCCAGCAACCCGAGGAUCCAGAAUAAAAGAGGCCAGAGCUAUGGAGCCAGUCUCCCUUCCUACUUUCUGUCUCCCACCCCAGAAGGGGCUGUCUUUGAAGCUGAUUGGUUGAGGGUGGUCUCAUAUUGAUGUUGUAGUCUACAGACUCUGAGGACACUCCCUCUUGGGAGUUAGGCAAGUAUGGUUUUAAUUUAAUUAACUUUAAUUAGGCUAAUCAGCAAAGUCAACUAGCUCUCAGUCAGUCUCACUUAAUUCAA